rnacentral:tRNA from 1 species
GGGCGGUUGGCGCAGAUGGUUAGCGCGCAACGUUGACAUCGUUGAGGUCACAGGUUCGAAUCCUGUACCGCCCACCA